AUUGAACGCUGGCGGCAUGCUUUACUCAUGCAAGUCGAACGGUAACAGGGAGCUUGCUCCGCUGACGAGUAGCGAACGGGUGAGUAAUGCGUCGGAACGUGCCGAGUAGUGGGGGAUAACGCAUCGAAAGGUGUGCUAAUACCGCAUACGUACUGAGGUAGAAAGUGGGGGACCUUCGGGCCUCACGCUAUUCGAGCGGCCGACGUCUGAUUAGCUAGUAGGUGAGGUAAAGGCUCACCUAGGCGACGAUCAGUAGCGGGUCUGAGGGGGUGAUCCGCCACAGUGGGACGGAGACACGGCCCAGACUCCUCAGGGAGGCAGCAGUGGGGAAUUUUGGACAGUGGGCGAAAGCCUGAUCCAGCCAUGCCGCGUGUCUGAAGAAGGCCUUCGGGUUGUAAAGGACUUUUGUCGGGGAGGAAAUCCCCAGCGUUAAUACCGCUGGGGGAUGACAGUACCUGAAGAAUAAGCACCGGCUAACUACGUGCCAGCAGCCGCCGUAAGAC
rnacentral:rRNA from 1 species